UACAGAGGUCCCGAGCGUUGUUCGGAUUCACUGGGCGUAAAGGGUGCGUAGGUGGUGAGGUAAGUCGGAUGUGAAAUCUCGGAGCUCAACUCCGAAACUGCAUUGGAAACUACCUUGCUAGAGGGUUGGAGGGGGGACUGGAAUACUUGGUGUAGCAGUGAAAUGCGUAGAUAUCAAGUGGAACACCAGUGGCGAAGGCGAGUCCCUGGACAACUCCUGACACUGAGGCACGAAAGCUAGGGGAGCAAACAGG
rnacentral:rRNA from 1 species